AUCUGGGAUAGCUCAGUUGGUAGAGGAUAAGACUCUUAAUCUCAGGGUUGUGGAUUCGAGCCCCACGUUGGACA
rnacentral:tRNA from 1 species